GUUUCCGUAGUGUAGUGGUCAUCACGUGCGCUUCACACGCGCAAGGUCCUCGGUUCGAGCCCGGGCGGAAACA
rnacentral:tRNA from 1 species